GGAGUCCGGCUUCCUGCGCUUGGGCCCCGCCUCUGACGCUGACUGACCCGCCCCCUCGGGCAAGGAUUUCGCCGUGCGGUGCCCGCGGGCUCUCGCGCGGACUGGGGACCAGAGGGCUGCUGGGGGCUGGAGGACUUGAGACUUGUACGUGGCUUAGAGCAGAGCCUGGCGCUCGGCCCCUCCCAGGUCGUAGCCGGGAUGCUCUGUGCUAGGGGACUGUUGUAAUGGCGGUCUUGUUAAACUCUCUCCUUGGUGUUUUGGAGCUAUGUUGGGGUGUGGGCGGCAAACCCUCCCUCAGGUAUGUGAGUGGAUUACCAAGCCCAGAGCUGGCGCUGGGGUUCCCAGGGGGUGGCGAGGCUCUUGAAGAUCAGCAGGACAGCCUUCCCGUGAUGGCUUUCGGAAACGAGGCCAAGUGCAGUGGGGGCAGGAGGCCCAUGACAGCGGGGCCACUGAGAGCAUUUGUUUGCUCUGGGUAAGGGGGACAGUCCUCGGAUUCCUGGCCUCAGCAGCCGUCCGCCCUCUGCGGGACCCUCGGGCGAGGUCGCCGAGCAGAGCGAGGGGUAGCGCCGUGCUGCCUCCCUGGUGCUCAGAGACACGUCGUCCGUGAUGCAUGCGUUGUGUCUGCUGUGCACGUGGUGAGUGUGCACGUGGUGUGUGUGCACACAUGCGUGGUGCGUGUGCGUGCACCUGGCUUUGCUGAGUUGUAGUCACUGUGCAACCUUGAGCCAGAGACCUGGAGGUGCCGGUGUUCCUGCCACGCUGCUGUUUCAUACUCGAGGAGAAAUUAUCCUUGGUGUGUUCGCUUUCUUUGUGAUGCAUCAUACAAGGACAGUUUCUUUUUGAGUAUCAAAUCCUGGCUCGUCGGCCUUCUUGGACCCCAUGACAAACUCUGUAAAGAGACGCGUGUGUCGCCCCUCCUGGGGCUCGCGCCUGGCCGUGGCGCGGACACCAGAGCGCUAGCCUCGGGGCCCUGGAGGCGGGGCCAAGCUUGGCAAGGGGCCAGUGGGCUCCCUGGUGCUGCCACUAACCUGCAUUGGUCACGAGUGUGCUCUGUGGGUGACCCAGCAUUCAAGGCUCAUCGAAUCCUGUUCCUUGAAGGUGCUGCUUGGACAGGAAGCCAACUUUAGGGUCAGGUCAUUGGUAUCGGUUCCCCUUCCCCUGCCCGAGGACAUGCCUGACCCCCGAGCAUGUGGCUGAAUCUCGCUGUGUGACGCUGACCCGCUAACCUGCCUUGUUCAGACUGCCUGUGGAGAACUUUCUGGAAGGGACGCUGACUUGGAGAAGACGCCACGCUCUUCUGGAGGGCACAGCCUUGUGGUGUGUAAAGAACAGCUGUCCGUAGUAUGGCCUCUCUACUUAUGGUGAUUCAUCCCAGACAACCACUGUUUCAGUAUCCAGAUUCACUUCACAAGCUUCCUCAAGCAUGGUGCCUACUUCAGCAAGAGGACCUGGGCGCCUGCCGCACCACGGAGCGCAAGUGAAGGGCUGUAAGAACUAAUUCAGUGACCUCAGGAUGCAAGCCGUCAGUGUGACUUCCCUGAGCGAAUCCCAGCCUUGGGAGGGGACACAAUUCCGGUGCUCAGAGCUGUUUGGAAGAGCUCGUUUGUUACUUGUCCGUCUUUCUCUUCUUGUUAGUGAAUCUCAGCCACGAGGAGCUCCUUGGAGAUGCUAUUGUCAAGUGUCUCUGGGCGGCUAGACAGUGGACUGGGGCAUCUGGGUCCCACACCCCCUGAUCUUUGGCGUAAAUUCUGAGCAUGGAAGACUUCCUUGAGGAGAUGCAAAAUUAAGGAAAGCACAGUCCAUUUCCUGCAGCCACUACCGUUUGGUCCCUCUGAGGAGCUGUCUGUUGACUAUUUCUUGUAUUCCUGAUGGACACGGCACGGUAACACGCUUCUUUUGGACUCAUUUCAUCAUAGAGACUCUCACAUGGAACACAGACCCUGGGAAUCAGACACUGGGGUCAACGGCAUCUCUGGGUUGGUGCGUGCACGCGUGUGUGCGUGGAUGUGUAUGUCUGUGUGUGCGUGUGUGUGUGUCUGUGUAUGAAUUGUUGGCUAAAGCAGUGUUUCUCAAACUUUAACAUGCUUCUAAGAUUUUCAUCACCUAGGGAUCUUGUUAAAAGGCAGAUUCUGAUUCAGGGACCAAGAUUCUGCAUUUUUAGCAAGUUCCCAAGUGAUGCUAAUGCUACUGGCCGGUGGACAACGCUCAAAACAGUUUGGGGCUGGAGAUGGUGUGCUUGAUUUGUGAUGUGUGUCCCCUGCUCCCCCUCUUCCACAUGCCGCCCAUCACAAGAACACUUCCCAAACCGACACCCUGCUUUUCAGUUCGUGAACAAUGGUUUUCUGCGAUGAGCUCGCUUAUGCAUAAACGUCAUGGGAUCACUCUCCCUUAUAAUCAAAUCCUGCCUCCGAGGGCUUUCCAGAUACAAGGCCUGCAUCAGGGAGAGGCCACCUGUGUCAGCCCCGUGCAAGACUGAGUUGCCAGGUGCCGGGUCAACAGCUGGAGCCAUCGCAUCUGUGAUCCUCCAUUUCCAGUCAGUCCGAAGCAGUGUUCCUGGAACUGAGGCCAUCUUUUGGGGAGCCCCUGUCUCGGGGACCUGUGAUGCACUCUGUUUUAUCAAAAAAGGUAUUAUCAUGACGGCUGUGCUUACCUGUAACACAAAUUUAUCUGUUGGCCUCUUCCAGCCAUCAGACCCCACCUCCUAGGAAUGCCCGGAGGAGGCUUUGGUGUGUGUGUGGGGGGGGUUGCAUCUGUUCUGGGAGGCUUUCUGUGCACGGCGGUUCCAGUCUGGGUGUUUGGACUUUGGGGUCGGGGCCAAGCCAAGGCCCGGGGCCCAGGGUAUGGGAACGGACGACUGAUGCUGGCACGUGGGCUCUCUUCGCAGGAUGUGGGUACCUGGCUCCCUGGCCCUGAGAUUCAGCUCAUGCGGGGAAGAAGCUUCCGGAGGCAAAGACGACGGUGGGGAAGAGGCCGUGGUUUUCGUUUCAGAACUAUUCAGGGAUAUUUGAGGAGAGGUUAUCCGUGUCAUGUUCGCUUCGUUCAUCAUGAAUAAUACAUGGUUAACCUCUUUUUGAAUAUCAAACUCUGCCUCGGAGGGCCGCCCGCACAGGAGACGUGAGAGCGUGUGCCUUGUGUGAGCUGGGAGCCCGGGGCCCGGCUGGUGGUGGGAGGGGCCCGGUGCUGCUUUGCUGUGGUUUUGCAGUGACCUGGAUGUGUUUGGAUGAUUUGUACAAAGCCGCCCCCCUCUCCGCCCUGUUCCGUCCGGCCUGCCUUGGAGUGCGGGUGUGAUGUGGGGUUGGGGGGUGGUGCUUUGCGGAUCUGUGGUUGGAACUUUCUGAGUCCACAUCACUGCAUGGCCGGCCAGUCAGUGGGGCCUGACGGGUGAGCCCCACCCCGGGGCUGGAGCUCUCCUGGCUCUGGUCCUCCAGUCCCAGUCCUUUGCAGGGUGGCUCCAGCCUGGUGGGGAGAAUGUGGUUUCCGCCCUGUGGGACACUCGAGGAGAGAUCACUUCCUUCACAAAGACUUCUCUGAGGACAAUCUACUUCCGAGGGUCAAGCCCCAUCGGGGGCAGCUCCCCGGGCACAGAGCCACCAUCUUCCCAGGUUUCCACAAGGUUCUGCCAGCAGAGCCAGUGGGGUUUCCUGUCCCACCACCGGGCCCUUGAAGAGACUGGCCCCGACCCGCAUUCCCUCCCUCGCUCGUAAGGAAGACUGCUCAGCCUCUACACCCGACAGCGCCUCCCGCGCAGAGCUGGCUUUGGGAUCACCCCUGGUUACGGGGACAGGAUCCCAAGCUUGGUGAAGGGUGGCGCCCCUGGGCCCUGCCCCUUCCAGGAUCCUCUCCAUGUUGACACCUGGGGGUGGCUGCAAAGCCCCGCGGCUCCCCAUCUUCGUGGCUCUGUUCUCUUUGUGGUGACAAGCCCAGCAGACGAGUCCUUUUGUAGAAUCAGUUCAGGACAGACGCCUGUUGGGGACGCCAGCUUCACAGUAAGAGCCCUGUCCACAGGUGAUUGCGCAGAAGUGACCCGAGCUUUGGAGACGGGACGCAGGUGUGCUUGUCGGCGUUGGCACGUGAGGUCUUGGGGAUGCUCUUCGUAACCGUGUGGUGGAUGUUCUGGCACCGUGGAAGACUGAGAGGAGGUGUCCCGCCUUCAGGGCAGGGUUCUGUGCCCCCCUCACUGGGUCCACGGGGAGAGGGUCAGCGUGUGAGGAUCCCCGGGCCCUCAGAACACAAUCAGUCGUCUGUAGGGACUUUGGGGACCAGGUCCGCCCCAUCUCUCUCCCUCGAAGAGAGAGGUUCGGUCCGGGGAUGCUGUAUGUAUGGCUGUAUCACUGGUCAUUCAGCUCCUGCUCUUCUUCUGCCCAUGAGGACCGCCUGGGGAAGAAGGCAGCUCUCUUCCAGGGAAAGGUUACUGCUCUCUGUGUCCAUCCAAAGUCUAGGGAGGGCUGGUGUGACCCGUGACCAUCAGCAUCUGCUCUGCCCCACCCAAAGGCACCAUCCAUGGCGGGGUGCCUCUGCCGCUCUUGCUCUGUUACAGACGCAGUGCCGUAGUGCAUUCUUCCUGGGCAUCAUCCCACCUUCAGGAGGAAUGGCCUUCCCUAGUGCUUGAGAGAAUGGCGCAUCUCAGAGCCUGUGCUCAGUGAGGGUGAAGCCACAGGGUCCCCAGCAGUGGCAUCGAGGCCUUGAAUGCUUAGCUUCCCAGGCUGAGCGUGUCAGGGCUGGCUAUUGGGGCUUCACUGUGUUUGCAGCUGAUCACAUCAGAGCCGCUGUUUUGCAGGACAAACUCCCACAUGGAGAUGCACUCCAACUGGAACUCUAACCAGAGGACAGGGUGUGGCCCAUGAUAGGGGAAUGGAUGGUUGAUCAGAGAACAUACAUUUUAUCAAUGAUGUAUGUCAACUGAUCCACAGUCCCUGCCUAUCCAGUGACUUCUCAGGACAGACUCCGGGAGAAGAGGCGGUGAUUCCUUGUCCAGGCUAGUACCUGGCCCUUCAAAAGACCUUCUUGCCGGGUUGGCUCUAUUUAUGCUGAGUCAUAGAAGGGAAAGUUUGUGUUUUUAAGUCUUGAUCGUGCCUCAGAAGCUUCCUGGGAAGACCUGUUGGCAUCAGCCGCUUCCCAGGGGAAGGAAUGCAUGGUUGGCCAGAGAGCACUGACACACGUGGUUGGCCAGUGGGCUUUAUCUACAACGGGCAACGUCCAAUUCUCCUAACCCUCAGUCCCCAGUUCGUCCUCAGCAGGACUAGCUGGAGGCAAGGCCGGCUCUGGUGAAGACUUGGUUCCUCAGCAUAAGCCUUCGGUACUUGAAGAGCGGUUAUCCCUGCUGUGUUCGCUGUAUUUAUGACGAAUCAUACAGGGACAUCCAGUUUUUCAGUAUCAAAUACUGCUGUGGAGGGCAUCCUGGGCAGCGUCCAGCCUUCAGAGAGGAGGUCUUGGUUUGUGUACCCACCCAAGGUAUGUACGUGGAAGGCAGAGCCCAGCGCACACGCGUCCUUCGUGACACAUGGCACUCCCUGGUGGCACCCAUGACUAGAAGCUGAUCUAUGUGGAAGGUGAUUGCCCAGGAGGGCUGGGAUCUUCUGGAAGGAAUGCCGGUAUCUGCCUCACACCGUCCUGAGGGGCUGACCAGUGAGAGCCCCGCGCACACAGACUGCCCGCUGCCCGUUGCGAGUGAAGCCCCUCCUUUCGAAGAAGGAGCCCCGGAGAGCGUGCGAAUGCGAGGGCCCAGUGGCGAUGCCGGCCGACACCGAGUUGGUCGUCCCUACUGCAUUUGCUCCAGGAAGGACUUUCUGCUUGUCCACUCUUGCCCAGGAAGGCUUUCUGGAAGCACUGCCAACCUCAGGGAGACCUGUGGGCAUCGCAUCUUCCCAGGGUGCAUGGAGAGUUUUAGCGGAGCAGAGUCUACUCUGUGUCUCUGACGAGCCUCACUUGGCUCCCGGCCCCGCAAGACCUGGCCCCGCAAGACCCGGCCGCUUUGAGAACUGCUGUGGGGAAGGAACAACUGCUUUGCACCUGAUGCUCUUUCAACAGGGCUCUUUCUUGACAUUAUCAGAUCAUCUUGUUACUGGUGUGACCACACUGCUAAUGAACUGUCCCUGAAUUGAUCAAUCAACGAGGAGUGACUCAGUCAUUUCACAAACAAUGAUCGAGUGUGUACUAUGUUCUAGAUGCUUCUAGACCUUAGCUGUUUCCUCUAAACUGAGGAUGGAGCAGUGAGCAAGGUCAAGUCCUUGCCCACGUAGACUUGACAAUCUGGUGGGAGAGAUGGAUAAGAAAACCAAACCGUGAAACAGUCUGGCCCACUGUUAGGCACUCUGAAGCGCAGGACAGCAGAGCAGCGUGUGAGGAAGACGCCCCCGCAGAGCGGGCGCUUCUGUUCAGCGCGGGCCUGGAAAGGUCCCUCUGGGAAGGGGACAUGGGAGCCACGUGGGGGCUGGGUCAGCUGGAGCGUUUCAGGGGGGUGUGGCACACGAAAGCCACCUGGCGUCCUUGAGAAAAAGCGAGAAGCUCUGCGGGUGUGGACUGAGCUACGGGGUGAGAGAGGCCCCCUCAGAGGUGGGGCGCACGCGGACUUUAUUCGGAGGGAGGGAGGCGGGGCCUGUGUUGAAGAGGUCUCUCUCUGAGCACAAGGGUGACAAUCAAGAGCCCGCGUGGGGGCUGUUGCAUAGAUGUAGGGAGCUCAGGCUAGGAUGGGGGCCCCCGCAGAGGCAGGAGCCACGGAGCACGUGGGAUGUCCCAAAGGUGGAGGCAGCACCCAUCCAGGGCUGGACUGGAUGAGCCUGGCCCGGGUCAGGAGGGAGAAGGUGGGGCAGGCGCUGAACCAGAGGUUCUGCAGGUGUGAUCAUCGCUGAGUGGGGAUUCUAGAGAGUCGAACUUUGGGAGAAGGUGUCAUGACCAGUAUUGCCAAGAUCCAAGCUGAGGCCGUGACCGUGGGGCUGAAGGGCCAGGUAGGAUGCAGGCAGAUGUAACUGGAGGUGAGGCCGUCCCCAAGCCUACGUGGGGGAGCUGGGUCCAGUGUUGAUAAGUGGUCAUUGCCAAGGUGGAAAGCAGGAGAUGUUCCAGGAGGAAGAUGGUGACCCAGAGCUGUCAGGGAGGACCAAGGUGGCCGUGACCAGGGAGUGGGCAGUGAGGUCUGAUGAAUAUGCUGGAAAGAACUGACAUUUUGAAAGGAAAAGAGAGGGAAAACGGUCUGGAGCGAUGAGCAGGGACGCCGUCUACCCUCUGCCAGGCUUUGGUGCAGGAAAUGAGAGGACAGCCGUCCCUCCGGGGGUGGAAGGUGGAGCACAUGGUGACGGCCCUGGGCCAGAUGUGCCGUGGAGGGGCUGUGCGGCACGGAGGCAGGGUGGGGGAUGGGCUCUGACAUUGAGCCUUGGGGUGUGAGGCUCAGAGCCUUCCAGUGGUGAAUGCGGGAAGUGGAAUGUGGUCCUGCUGGUCUGAGGUUGUAGGGGAGAAGGUGGGUGAGUGACUUGUGAUGCCACCCUUCUUGGAAUUGCUUUCUUGGGGGCUUCCCCAUGGGAGAUGGGUG